UGGGAGAAUUGAGCCCUGGUGACAUUUGU
rnacentral:piRNA from 1 species